UUUUGAACAAAACAUAUAACAAUUAUUGUUUUGAGAUUUUUAUUUUAUUUUAUUUUGGUGAUUUAUACAGUAAGGUUUGCAACAAAAUUUCACAUUGAAUAUUACAAAUGUUAACAGCUAACAUUUUUCAUAAAUGGUGGGUAUCAUUGGGAAAAUCAGAAGUUCGUUAAACUCAAUUUGAAUAACAGCUCCAAAGCCAAGCAGGAGCACAUAAUAAACCCAACCUACAUUAAACCAACAGUCUUUGGUUAAAGUAAUCAUGUUCAUCAUUGCUGUCUUCAUCACCAUCAACAGUUUUCUCGAAAUACAAAUUAUUCUCAUCAUCAAUGUCGACGUCAUCAUCGCUAUAUGGCUCAGGAUCGGCAUCAACACAGUGGCGUGUAUUCCAAUCGGGAGGGAAGCUUUUCUGUAAGGCUUCUGUAAGCUCUCCACCGGUUCUCUCAAUCUUGCGUAAAGACUUGGACCAGUGAACUGCUGUCCCCAUAUCUACGAUCAACCCAGAUUCUAUCAUCUCUCUACAAAUGGAAAGAAUGUUGGAGUAAACAUAUGCUCCAGCAACACUAGCCCUAGAUAGCAAUGAUGUUAUCAAGCAAUGAUAUACAGCUUUAUCAGGCUGUAAUCCUGCCAACUUCAUUUCUUCAAAGCAAUUCAAAGCCUUUUCUGGAAGAGAUGCGCGUGCCCACCCAUGUAUCAGCGUCGUGUAGGUUUUAACAUUUGGCUUUACUCCAGCAGUUUCCAUUUCUUCCAUUGUCCUUGUUGCUCUCAGCAUGUCCCCAGCCUUGCAACAAGCAUUUAUAAAGGAUGUGUAAGUGUGAAUAUCGGGUUGAACUCCUUCUCGCUUCAUUUGUUGCAUAAGAUCAGCAGCCUCCCAAACAUCACCUCUUCGAGCCCAUCCAUCUAUCAAUAUGUUAUAAACAAAAGUGUUCCUUUGAAUCUUUUGAGCACUCAUUUCUUUUGUUACAGCUAAAGCACUUUGCAUCCUGCCUGACUUGCAGCACGCCUUCAAUAAUGCCUCAUACGUAUAUACAUCAAGCUCUAAUCCUUCAUUUCUCAGUUUGGUAAAAUACUCAAAAGCUUUUCCAGUAUCGCCUAGGGCUGCAUAGCCAUGCAUAAUGGUUGUGAAUGUAUGCUCAUUUGGACUAACACCUGACAAUGCCAUUUCAUCCAAUAUUUCAACAGCCUUCUCCAUCUGCAAUAAGACAAGAAAGAUUGGGUUGCAUCUGACACUAAAUAAGUGAUUUUAGACCACCAACAAAGAUAGAAAGUAUCAUUGAAAAAUAAAUUAAAACAAAGUUUAUUAUAGGGGAAAAAAAUUGGAUAACCAAAAAUGAAUUGGAACUCAGUUUUCAAAAUGUGGAGAUAAUAAAAAAAGAACAAAAAAUAUAUACUAAACUGGUGGAUCACCUCCUUGGACCAAAGUCGAUCAAAUAGAUGAGGGAUCAGAAAUCGUGCUAAUGACUAAAACAAACAUGUAAGAGCAAAGGAAAUUUAGAAGAAACUUUUCCGAUGGACAUAUGCUUGUGGUUUCUUUCAUUUUUCUUUCUUUUCUUCUGUGAAUGUGUGACUUUUGUACUGGGUAAAAGCCAUGAAAAUGGUUAUCAUAAUUUAUUGAACCCAAAUGUUGUUUCCAUUGAAGGUGGAGAAAAUAAUUAGCAACAGGAAGCCUAUGAGGUACUUCUAGUAAAUAAGUACGCAUCUUCAUUGCCCAUCAAAUCCCAGAUAUAUGUCACAAAUGCCAUCCCAAAAUGAUACAACACUUAGCAGUGUAAAGUUUGGUUCUAGCAACCAGUGGAACACAUCAUGACAUCAAGGUCCACAUUCAAAUAUGAAUCCAGCACGUCUAGGUUCCCCAUGCUUUAUAUCACAAAUAAUUUACCUGACGCUUCUCAACUAGGCCAAGAAUCAAAGCAUUGAAGGUAUGCACAGUUGGAAUACAUCCACUCCACCUCAUCAUAUCAAAAACAUCUAAAGCUCUUCUCAAUUCUCCAGCCCUUGCAAAUCCAUGUAUAAUGGGCAUAAAUGUCCGUGAAGUAGGCCUUUGCCUUUCCUUCUGCAUCUCCUUCACCAUACAGAUGGCACGGUCCAUGUUUCCCAUUCCACAGAAUGCUUUAAUAAUGUUAUUGUAGAGCACCACAUCAGGCUUCAACCCAUCAUUGACAACAUCUUCAAAAAUUGCAAAUGCAUUGGCCCAAUCUUUUAGCUUCAAGAAUCCAUUGAUUAACAUGGAGUAAGUCUUCAUGUUGUGUUUUAUACCAGCUGAUUCCAUAAUUUUGCUAACCUCCAGAGCUUUAGAGAUUUUACCAACCUUAGUGUAUAGAUUGAUGAGGCAUCCAUAGCUAACAACUGAGGGCGUAAAUCCACAUUCCUUAAGUCUUUGAAAUACAGUCAGACAUUUCUCUGCAUUGCCAAUCAUGGUGUAGCCAUCCAUCAUGGUGUGAUAUAUGUCAAUAGGAGCAUCUAUACCUUCUUCUUCCAUCUCCCUCACCAAAGCUUCAGCUUUAUCCAUAUUACAUGUUUGACACUGAGAAUAAAUUAUGUUCCCAUAAAUGAUUGUAUUCAUAUUUGAAAGUCUCUCUUUGGCCUCCUUAAACCAGUGAUCUGCAGCUUGAGCAUCGCCGAUUUUGGCAAAUCCCCCCACAAUUAUGCUAUAAGUCACCAAACUCAUUUCAAUUCCCUCUUCUUUCAUUUUCCUAACACAAGACAAUGCUUCUUCCAUGUCUCUACCAACUGCAUAAGCGUGAAUAAGGCUUGUGUAGACAUGUGAUGUUGGCUCUAUUCCCCUUGCUCUCAUGCUCUCAAAUGUUUGCCGAGCACGAUGCAUAUCCCCUCGCCUUGCAUAAUAGCUCACCAUCAAUCCAUACUCCCUUCUGGAAGGCUUUUUAAUUCUCUCGAAAGCACUAACAACCGCCUGCCAAUUCUCUGGCUGCGUCUCCAGAACCCUCCGAAACGCCUUUCUGUACCCCUCUCUUUCUUCAUGCCACCUGGACCUAUAAUCAUCCCCAUCCUCCCCUUGCACCCACCGCCUUCUUUCCUCCGCUUUAGCCUUCAAUCUUCUCCCAUCGUCCAAUUUCACAGUAAGAACCCUUCCAUGGAACUCCAUUCCAUCAAACUCCUCAGCUUUCAUGGCAGACUUUGCUGCUGUUGGACCAUCAUAGAUAAUAAACCCAAACCCAGCAUUCCUUUCGGUUUCAUUGUGUCCUCUGAUCAAGAUUACGUUUUUUAUGGGACCAAACUGGCGAAAGAACUCGCAUAUUUCACGCUUCUUUAUCCAGUUGGGUAAGUUCCCAACAAAAAUCUUUCCCUCUUGGCGGAAUUCAGUUUUGCCGGAUUCGUUUUCUCGGCCUUUGGUUUUCGGCAGGGGAGAAGGAGGAACAGAAGCAACAGCAGAUGGAGGAGGAGGAGGGGAGAGCUUGCUAGAUAGACGGAGUUUGGUGGAGAGAAUGUCAGGAUUGGUGGUGGAGCAGGUGCUGCUGCUCCUGCUGGUACCUGGUGGAGGUGGGGAAGGGACAUGAGAAGGAUUGAGAAAGGAUUUGAGUGGGUUGUUGGGGUUUUUAUGAGUAGGGUUAGGAGUAAUAGUGGAAGGAGUGUUGGUAGAAUUGAGGGACUUGGGACGGCGGAGGGAGGAUGAGUUGUCGCACUCCGAUGGUGGUGGUGGUGGUGGUGAUGGACGUACAUGAGGUGGAGGAGGAGGAGAUGGUGGUGGCUGGAAAGGGUGACUUGGCGGUGGAGGAGAGAAAUAUGGGAAGUAGAAGUUAUUGGAAGAAGCCAUUUGAAGGUAAGUAGAUAUUUUAUUUGAAUUAGAGGAUUAGAAUGAUAACUGAU
rnacentral:misc_RNA from 1 species